GGCGAGAUGGCCGAGCGGUCUAAGGCGCCAGACUAAGGUAUUCCAACCAAAUCUGGUCCGAAAGGGCGUGGGUUCGAAUCCCACUCUCGUCA